GUCGCAGAUUAUCCGGCUUACGGCGUCACAGGCCCCAAUAAGGACCUCUCCCCUACCAGCGGAGACCGGAAGCUCGCUCAGUCCGCUCACAUGUACCAUUAUCAACACCAAAAGCAGCAGAUGAUUGCCCUUGAAAAGUCAUCCGGUGGAGAGCGCCAUGGAUCGACCUCUGACGUGGACUCCGAGGAGGAAGGGGAGGAGAACGAGUACACUGUGUACGAGUGCCCCGGCCUUGCCCCGACUGGUGAGAUGGAGGUGAAGAACCCACUGUUCCCCGACGACCCAACACA